UUCCUCUUUGGCUCUUUGGCUCUUUGCCUCUUUCUGCCGUCUCUCAUCUCCAGCUUCCAUACUCUCCCCUCUCCAAACUCUCCAAUCUCUAAUUCUCCAUCGUAUUCUCUUCCCCUUCUCUCAUCCGACCCAUCAGACCAUCUCCAUUCUCCAUAGUCUCCUCUAGUGUUCGCCCUCUUCUCUUUCCCUUCUCUCAUCUUUAGCAAGUUGUUGUCCUGUCAUCCUUCACCCUUUGUCCCUUCCCAUAUCAAGUUGAAGAUUUCAAUGAUAAGUGAAAGCGAGAAUCCAGCUCUUGCUCCUAGUGAUGCUACUACGCAGCCUACGCCUAUUGGCAUGCCGUCAUCGUCACCAACACCAACUACACAACAAACCAUAAUUUUUACCAAUGAAAGUGAUGCUGUCAAUUCUAAGAAACGGAAAGCACUUCCACCGAGGUCUGAAGUUUGAAAACAUUUCACCAGAUUCGUCAAUAUUAAGGCUUCAUCAAUUUGUGUGAGUUUGAAAAAAACAAUGGAAGAGUUGCUUGUUGAAUACCAAAAUAACGUACAACCUCCUCUUGAGAAAGUUGGUGACAGUAGCCAAUCCCAAGUGAGCCAAAUUUCAGAAUUUGAUGAUGAUAUUGACUUCAGUGCUAGUGUUGCACUUUUGAAUGAAUUUAAAAGAUACAAGAUUGCACUUGGUAGGGAAGAGGAUAAAUCAAAAUUAGAAAAGUAUUUGAGUUUAAAUGAGCCUGAUGCAACCGAUAGCGAUGACUUUGAUGUUCUCAUUUAGUGGAAACUCAAUAGUCAUAGAUAUCCUACUCUUGCCCUACUGGCGUGUGAUGUAUUAGCGAUUCCUCCAUCCACAGUUGCUUCGGAAUCAGCUUUUAGCCCUGGUGGUCGUGUGCUUAAUGCAUAUAGGAGUUUUUUAAUGCCUAAGAUGGUGCAAGCCCUUAUUUGUGCUCAAGAUUGGCUAUAUGGACCUUCCUAUUAUCUUCAUGACAUUGAGAAUGAUUUGACAGAGCUUGAGAAAGUUGAUGAAGGUUAGUAUUUUAUUUAUAUCAUCAUUUCAUUUUUGUUGUUUUAAUUGUUACUAUAUUAUUGCUUUAUUUCUUACUUUCUUGUUUAUGUAUUUUAAAGUUGUCAAAGAUUGCAGUGGACAAUGUACUUGAUAAUCUUUAAGGUAAUCAAGUAAUGUACUAUUGUUAUCUAUUGCCUGUUUGAAUUUAUAAAAUAUUAAACAUGUUCUAACUUAUUUUUUUUUAAUCUAUUUGAAACUAACGGUUUUUUAUUUAUUUUUU